rfam:Asian citrus Psyllid, Diaphorina citri - Florida Strain, whole genome shotgun sequence.
UUUCUCUCCAAUAACACAUUGUAUGUAACAGUUCCUAAUGGAUCACAGAAGUUAAGCAAUGUUUUGCAUGGUUGGUAUCCAGAUGGGUGACCACCUGGGCAAUUGUGUGCUGCUGGCA